rnacentral:rRNA from 1 species
UAGUGAACCAGUACCGUGAGGGAAAGGCGAAAAGAACCCCGGCGAGGGGAGUGAAAAAGAACCUGAAACCGUGUACGUACAAGCAGUGGGAGCACGCUUAGGCGUGUGACUGCGUACCUUUUGUAUAAUGGGUCAGCGACUUAUAUUCUGUAGCAAGGUUAACCGAAUAGGGGAGCCGAAGGGAAACCGAGUCUUAACUGGGCGUUAAGUUGCAGGGUAUAGACCCGAAACCCGGUGAUCUAGCCAUGGGCAGGUUGAAGGUUGGGUAACACUAACUGGAGGACCGAACCGACUAAUGUUGAAAAAUUAGCGGAUGACUUGUGGCUGGGGGUGAAAGGCCAAUCAAACCGGGAGAUAGCUGGUUCUCCCCGAAAGCUAUUUAGGUAGCGCCUCGUGAAUUCAUCUCCGGGGGUAGAGCACUGUUUCGGCAAGGGGGUCAUCCCGACUUACCAACCCGAUGCAAACUGCGAAUACCGGAGAAUGUUAUCACGGGAGACACACGGCGGGUGCUAACGUCCGUCGUGAAGAGGGAAACAACCCAGACCGCCAGCUAAGGUCCCAAAGUCAUGGUUAAGUGGGAAACGAUGUGGGAAGGCCCAGACAGCCAGGAUGUUGGCUUAGAAGCAGCCAUCAUUUAAAGAAAGCGUAAUAGCUCACUGGUCGAGUCGGCCUGCGCGGAAGAUGUAACGGGGCUAAACCAUGCACCGAAGCUGCGGCAGCGACGCUGAUGCGUUGUUGGGUAGGGGAGCGUUCUGUAAGCCUGUGAAGGUGUGCUGUGAGGCAUGCUGGAGGUAUCAGAAGUGCGAAUGCUGACAUAAGUAACGAUAAAGCGGGUGAAAAGCCCGCUCGCCGGAAGACCAAGGGUUCCUGUCCAACGUUAAUCGGGGCAGGGUGAGUCGACCCCUAAGGCGAGGCCGAAAGGCGUAGUCGAUGGGAAACAGGUUAAUAUUCCUGUACUUGGUGUUACUGCGAAGGGGGGACGGAGAAGGCUAUGUUGGCCGGGCGACGGUUGUCCCGGUUUAAGCGUGUAGGCUGGUUUUCCAGGCAAAUCCGGAAAAUCAAGGCUGAGGCGUGAUGACGAGGCACUACGGUGCUGAAGCAACAAAUGCCCUGCUUCCAGGAAAAGCCUCUAAGCAUCAGGUAACAUCAAAUCGUACCCCAAACCGACACAGGUGGUCAGGUAGAGAAUACCAAGGCGCUUGAGAGAACUCGGGUGAAGGAACUAGGCAAAAUGGUGCCGUAACUUCGGGAGAAGG